rnacentral:rRNA from 1 species
CAGGGAUUGCCCUAGUAACGGCGAGUGAAGCGGCAACAGCUCAAAUUUGAAAGCUGGCCUUCGGGUCCGCAUUGUAAUUUGUAGAGGAUGCUUUGGGUGAAACGCCAGUCUAAGUUCCUUGGAACAGGACGUCAUAGAGGGUGAGAAUCCCGUAUGUGACUGGAAAUGUUAACCUAUGUAAAGCUCCUUCGACGAGUCGAGUUGUUUGGGAAUGCAGCUCUAAAUGGGAGGUAAAUUUCUUCUAAAGCUAAAUAUUGGCGAGAGACCGAUAGCGCACAAGUAGAGUGAUCGAAAGAUGAAAAGCACUUUGGAAAGAGAGUUAAAAAGCACGUGAAAUUGUUGAAAGGGAAGCGCUUGCAAUCAGACUUGUUUAAACUGUUCGGCCGGUCUUCUGACCGGUUUACUCAGUUUGGACAGGCCAGCAUCAGUUUCGGCGGCCGGAUAAAGGCUCUGGGAAUGUGGCCUUCACUUCGGUGAAGGUGUUAUAGCCCAGGGUGUAAUACGGCCAGCCGGGACUGAGGUCCGCGCUUCGGCUAGGAUGCUGGCGUAAUGGUUGU